UACGAAGGGGGCUAGCGUUGUUCGGAAUUACUGGGCGUAAAGCGCACGUAGGCGGAUCGAUCAGUCAGGGGUGAAAUCCCAGGGCUCAACCCUGGAACUGCCUUUGAUACUGUCGAUCUUGAGUCCGGAAGAGGUGAGUGGAACUCCGAGUGUAGAGGUGAAAUUCGUAGAUAUUCGGAAGAACACCAGUGGCGAAGGCGGCUCACUGGUCCGGUACUGACGCUGAGGUGCGAAAGCGUGGGGAGCAAACAGG
rnacentral:rRNA from 1 species